CCUGCUGCUUUCGUCAUCCAAUAAGAAGUCUGGCGGUCAUUCUUUAACUUAUGUGGAGUCGGUUUGCUUUCCUUCUCCACACCGCCUCAAUUAGUUGCGUGAAGCCGAGUCACUGUCUAUUUUCUCAUGUUUUUCCCUUUUCCCGCCACCUCCUACUUGGUUUUGCGCACCGACCACUGGGUUCAAUAAACGGCGUCGUUUGGCUAUUGAUGAAGGUCACCUAGACGUCACGAUGAGGUAGAAGACUUAGCGGUGGGUUUUCCUUCUUGGCGGCCACGUUCCCCCCAAAGCUGCAUACCUUUUGGAUCCCCUUUUACCGCCACCUCCCAUUGAUUGCUGCUGAGUCACCCUUUUGACUUCCUCUUCAUGCCGCUCCAUGUUUAUUCUGUAUUUAAGGGUUUUGUUGCUUCACGAUUGAUGUUGAAGAGGACGAAAGGGAAGGGCCUGAUGAAGAGACGAUUUAGCCUAAAGACCGUUACUAAUGACAAAUCGAUGACAUGGAACCUUAAAUUAAGUAAUCGUACAUGAAAAAACCAUCAUGACCACCUUCAGAAUAUAGUUCUUUUAGUGCCUGGGUUUGCUGGAUCUAUUCUCAAUGCUAAUGAUGUUGAAACAGGGAAAGAAGAGAUGGUUUGGGGUUCAAAUUGGGGAAUUUGAUUGUCAAUUUUUGUGGGAAACUUUGCUGUCAGUUCGUACUGAUUGAACAAAGUAUGUUCUUAUCUAACACUAAAUUUAUUAAUCAGAUUUCUAAUAUAUCUACAUGCCCUUCCAGAUCAUCUUUCUUGAUGUUUUUUUAUAAUCGUCAUACCCAGGGUAUUUGUAGUCUUGUCAUGGUUCUACUUAAUUAGGGUUUGGAAUAUUCAUAUGAGACGCAUUUGUGAAUCAAGGUAAUGGUUUCAAUUUCGGUAUGUCCUUUAAAAGCGGAGUUGUUCUUGAUCAAAAAAUAAGAUAUCUCAAUUACCCUUUAACAACAGUGUCAUCCGAAAAUAUACAGCAAUAGUAGAAUAUCAUUCCAUCUUAAUGUUUAAUGACUAUUGAGUAUUGAUUGCAUGUCUAUCAUCCGAAUAUAAACGUCAAUGAUGUGCUAGAAAUUGAAAAUUUAUAAUGACUAACAAUUCUUGGAGGCUCUUGAAACCUUUUUAAUUGUGUGGUUUGAAAGUUUCCAUUGUGAUUACUUUGUUAUCUCAAGUUUAGUGUGCUAGAAUAUGGAGAUUUGGCAGGAGACAUGUUUCUGAACCUUUGGAUACCACUCGAUAAAUUUGUCGAGGAUGAAAAUGUAGUUGCAGGUAAGGAUACAUUAUCUGUCAGAUUAGUAAUAUGGUUUUUGUUGGUUACAUAGAUUGUAAUUAAUUCAUAUGAGAUAUAAUAAGGUUAGGAUGAGGACUUAUUUGUGUUGAGAAUUUAGUAGCAUUUUCCCCAGAUGUUGGUGGACUAGCUACAAGCUCGAGAGUUUCAUGAUCUUUUAAUAUUUUUCUUAGGUUAAAACUAACAGUUUAUUUGUUAUUUUCAUACAAAAAAUGAAAGGGAUUAUUUCACUAAAUCCUUUUGCGGAAUAUAGAAACCUAGAUUGCAAGUCAACCUCAGACCCUGUGGACUCAUCAAACACUUUCACCGCUCCAUUCCGAAACAAAAUACUUCUAUGGAGGUUAGUUUCCAAAAAACAAUUUGAUUCAACUUUGUGGGUUUUGGAAUUUGACUUACUAUUAUCUGAUAUGGGACGGAAUCAAGGAAUAUAAAUAAGAGUACAUAACAUUAAAUUUCUUGAAUUUAAAAAGAAUGGAUCUUGGUACUAGCAUAAAAAGAUAUGAAAGUUAAAGUUGAAUCCUACUUUAAAGUUUAAAAAAAUGGCAACCAAGAUUAAUAAGAUGCUAUUUUCAAAUUUAAAGUUUGAAUUUAUGUCUAAUUGGAACCUGAAAUAACAACCUAUUUAAAGUUAUUAAAGAUUUGAAAUGAUUGUAAUUGACAUUAUACAUUUAGAGCUUUUCCUUCAACUUGCAUCUCAAACAAUGGCCCAUGUUUCUUCAUUUCUUCAUUAAUGCUCUAGGUGCUCAACCAAGGUUGUUGAGAUCUUAUAACCUUAAAAACUAAUGUUAGCAGGUAAUCGUGAUAGGGGAAUGAGCAUGGUAUUUCCAAAGGUUUUUGGAUUCAAAAUGUUGGGGAAAUAAAAUAAUGGUGCAAAAGCAAUAAAUAUAAUUAUUAUAUAAUUUACUUUAUAAAUCAAUAUCUUAUCUUAUAUGUUGGAGUUCUUUUAGGUAUGCAGCAACAAAAACACGCUAAAAUCCCCUUCCUCAAUAGAUGGUACGACAAUUUAAUAGCAACCUCAUGCUUCCCUGAUUUCAAAAGGAUAUUUGAAUCAUCAUUGACACAUUAAAAAAUUUAAUUUUUUUCUGAAUAUUUUCUAACUGGCAACCAGGAACAAAGUCUCAGCAGAAACACAUGACACCAUUAGUUGAUGCAAGAGUUUUAUAUAGCUGGAAAAAUAAAUCCUUUAUGAGGAUAUCAAACCUUGAGCAUAACGUAUAUAUAAUAAGUAGUACUACAUGAAUCAUAAAUGCAUAUAUUAUAUCCAACGCAUACCAACUGUUCGAUACAAUGCUCAUGACAAUUCUCUUUCCUUAUGAUCUCAAUUUUAAUAAACUUAUACAUAUACUUUGCAAGAAAGGAAAUGUUUAGGAGAGUGAGUUUUUUCCACAAGUUAUCGAAGUAUUUAUGAAUAUUAUUUGUGUUUAUUUAGCCAACUGUUGGUUGUCUUCAUUUGACAGAAGUGUGUCGGGUGUAAUUUUGAUACCUAUAAAAAGUUUACAUUUUGAUUC